rnacentral:rRNA from 1 species
AGCGAACGCUGGCGGCAGGCUUAACACUUGCAAGUCGAGCGGGCAUCCUUGUGGUGUCAGCGGCAGACGGGUGAGUAACGCGUGGGAACGUGCCCUUCGUUUCGGAAUAACUCAGGGAAACUUGAGCUAAUACCGGAUACGUGCGAGAGCAGAAAGGUUUAUCUGCCGAAGGAUCGGCCCGCGUCUGAUUAGCUAGUUGGUGAGGUUAUGGCUCACCAAGGCGACGAUCAGUAGCUGGUCUGAGAGGAUGAUCAGCCACACUGGGACUGAGACACGGCCCAGACUCCUACGGGAGGCAGCAGUGGGGAAUAUUGGACAAUGGGGGCAACCCUGAUCCAGCCAUGCCGCGUGAGUGAUGACGGCCUUAGGGUUGUAAAGCUCUUUUCUCCGGGACGAUAAUGACGGUACCGGAGGAAUAAGCCCCGGCUAACUUCGUG